UUGCCUCAGUAACGGCGAGUGAAGCGGCAACAGCUCAAAUUUGAAAUCUGGCCUCUUUGGGGUCCGAGUUGUAAUUUGUAGAGGAUGUUUCGGGUACCGCCUCGGUUUAAAUUUCUUGGAACAGAAUGUCAGAGAGGGUGAGAAUCCCGUCUUGGACCGGCGGUAGGGCCCAUGUGAAACUCCUUCGACGAGUCGAGUUGUUUGGGAAUGCAGCUCAAAAUGGGUGGUAAAUUUCAUCUAAAGCUAAAUAUUGGCCAGAGACCGAUAGCGCACAAGUAGAGUGAUCGAAAGAUGAAAAGCACUUUGAAAAGAGAGUUAAACAGUAUGUGAAAUUGUUGAAAGGGAAGCGCUUACAACCAGACUUGAGCGCGGCGGUUCCCCCUUCCUUUUGGUUGGGUUACUCCGUCGUGUCCAGGCCAACAUCGGUUCUGGGGGUCGGUCAAAGGCUUUGGGAAUGUAUCUACCCUUCGGGCGUAGACUUAUAGCCCAGAGUGUCAUGCGGCCUCCCGGGACCGAGGAACGCGCUUCGGCUCGGAUGUUGGCGUAAUGGUUGUCAGCGACCCGUCUUGAAACACGGACCAAGGAGUCUAACAUCUAUGCGAGUGUUUGGGUGUCAAACCCGUAACGCGAAAUGAAAGUGAACGGAGGUAGGAAGCCGCAAGGCUGCACUAUCGACCGAUCCUGAUGUCUUCGGAUGGAUUUGAGUAAGAGCAUAGCUGUUGGGACCCGAAAGAUGGUGAACUAUGCCUGAAUAGGGUGAAGCCAGAGGAAACUCUGGUGGAGGCUCGCAGCGGUUCUGACGUGCAAAUCGAUCGUCAAAUUUAGGUAUAGGGGCGAAAGACUAAUCGAACCAUUAAUAAUAAGCUAUCAGGUGGUUAAGUGUAGCCUCAAAGUGGCUGCAAGUGCCUUAUUCUGGCGCGACAUUGUCAAAUUGCGGGGACGUCCUAAAGCUUAGACUACCAAGUAGAAGGGGAAAUCUCUUCUAUGGCCGGGGUAAUGACCUAGGGUAUGGUAACAACGUUUAAGAUGCUACAAUGGAUAAUCCGCAGCCAAGUCCUAAAGUUCUCUCGGAGAGUCAUGGAUGCAGUUCACAGACUAGAUGGCAAUGGGCUCGAGUGACGUGUUAAUCACUGGGGCUUAAGAUAUAGUCGGACCCUGGGGAAAUCCCAGGCGUAUCGCUAAAUCUAUAGCAAAAGAAUAACUUACUAUGCACAUAGUAAGGUUGCUCUAGACCUGAACGAUACGGCC
rnacentral:ncRNA from 2 species